GUCAGGCACCCAUAGCCACGAGAAUGAUUUUGGAGGGUGUGAGAGAGGUCAGUACAGGUGAAAUAAGGGGCUCUAAACUAGGGCAGGUCAGGCGCCCAUAGCCACGAGAAUGAUCAAGGUGGGUGUGAGAGAGGUCAGUGCAGGUGAAAUUAGGGGCUCUAAACUAGGGCAGGUCAGGCACCCAUAGCCAGGAGAAGGAUCAAGGAGAGGGUAAGAGAGGUCAGUACAGGUGAAAUUAGGGGCUCUAAACUAGGGUAGGUCAGGCACCCAUAGCGGCUUUUGCUUAAUUUGAUAACAUCCUUAUUCUAGCAGUUAGGAUGGAGUUUAAUGCUUGUGCUAAAUUUGACCAUAUUAGCUUUUAUUUUCCAUCACCCAACCAAAUGGUAACUGGUUAUUCCUUGCCAACUGCCACCUGUCCCUUAGCUGGCCAUAUACAUGUAACACUUAUUUACCCUCUCUCU